rnacentral:rRNA from 1 species
UAGAGUUUGAUCCUGGCUCAGGAUUAACGCUAGCGGCAUGCCUAAUACAUGCAAGUCGAACGAAAGUAGCAAUACUUUAGUGGCGAACGGGUGAGUAACACGUAUCUAACCUACCAUUUAGUGAGGAAUAACUGUUGGAAACAACAGCUAAUACCGCAUAUGUUAUUUAUUUGCAAUGAUAAAUAAUGAAAGGAGCAUUUGCUUCGCUAAUUGAUGGGGAUGCGGCGCAUUAACUAGUUGGUAAGGUAAUGGCUUACCAAGGUAACGAUGCGUAGCCGAUCUGAGAGGAUGAACGGCCACAUUGGGACUGAGACACGGCCCAAACUUCUACGGAAGGCAGCAGUAGGGAAUUUUUCACAAUGGGCGAAAUCCUGAUGGAGCAAUGCCGCGUGACUGAUGAAGGUCUUCGGAUUGUAAAAGUCUGUUGUAAGAGAAGAAGUGCUAGAAUAGGAAAUAAUUUUAGUAUCGACCAUACCUUACCAGAAAGCCACGGC